AAUGAUUUGUGGCUUUUCUGAAGGAAAAUGUCUUCAUUUAGCAGUCCCACACAAACUUCGGUGUGCAGAGCAUAAAAGACCCUUCAUUUCACUGAUGCCAAAUCCUUUGUGAAGACUGAGAUUGUUAGAGCCCAAAUAAACAGAAUAAAAGGUUGAAGUGACUUAUAUUGAAGUCUGCUGAUAGAAAACACAAAGAUAUCAUCUUUCUUCAAGAAAGUUCCACGGGCUGUUGCUGCUGUGGAGUAGUCUGCAGAUGUCUGUUAAGUAUACUUGAUCAAGACUGUCAUUUAAUUCUGGAUUUUCCUUUACUGAUUUUUGUCUAGAUGAUCUGUCUAUUGAUAAGAGUGGGUGGGAAAGUCACCUGCUGCUAAUAUAAUUUUAAUAUCUGAUUCCUCAUACAUAUUUUCAGAGCUCUCUUCUUAUCUUGCUCUCUCUCCCAUUGAUUACAUUAAGGCCAUCUGGUUUUUUAUUCUACAUAAUAAUAAAAUAUUUAACAUCUUAUGCUUUGAACACAGGAAAAUUGUAAGCUUUGUUAUUUAUGCAAAAGAAUGUUUAAAUAGCAGAAAAUAUACAAAUUUUGAGGAAAUUAAGUUGGAUUAUCAAGAAAAGAAAUUCUAGAAUGCACUGGUAAAGAAUACAGAGUAGAACAAAAUGAGAUAAAAUUUAAUAGAUGAGAAGCUAGAAGUUCUAUCCUCUCACAGGAUCUGA